AUUGCUGCUGCCCGACAGCAGGGCCUCGCGGGGAACGUGUGUGUCUGGUGGUGGGGCUGGGGAAUGCUUCUGAGUAUCGCACAGAAAGGCCUGCGUUACGGUUGGAAAUGCGAUAUUCUUCCGGUUUGCUUCCACUCUUGUUUUGUGUCACUGAGGUACCUGGGUCUGUUCAGCCUGGGGAAAAGAAGCCUGAGGAGGGAACUGAUGAAUGUAUAUAAAUAUCUAAAGGGAGAUGGGAGGCAAAUGGAUGAGGGCAGGCUCUUCUCAGGGGUGCGUAGCGAGAGGACAAGGAGCAGCGGUCUCAAACUUGAACGUAGGUGUAGCAGAAAUGCUAUGUCACAGCUUGGAACAGUGAUUGAGCACCGGGUGGGAAGGCAGGGCCAACCCAGGAGAGCUCAGGUGCAUGCAACGUACCUGAGUGACUGGAAGGGCUGGAGCCAAGAUGCAACCCUUCCCAGACCUCAUGUAAGGGUUGGCAGUGGAGGCAAGGAUACCUCAUCUGGAGAUCCCUGCACACCUGAGACCUUCUGAAGGCAACUAUUUUGUCACUGGGAAGCACUAAUUUGUGGAAGCAAAACAACUCCAGGCAAAGGAUGUGCUUUGACAAAUUUCCCAUAUUGAGGACGAGUGGGAGAAGCAUGGAAAGAAGAGGAAAUAAAUGUAGCACGAUUGCAAUGUCAUGGGGGCUUGCUGCCCUCGAAUUGUUUUUCUUUUCCUUUCUCCAGCAUGGCCUGCUGUGAAAGACAGAGAGCCUGCGUGAGCAGGCCUGGCAUCAUCUGCAAGGAUAGCGCCCAUGUCGAAACCAGGUAGAACUCUCUGGAGUUUUCCUGAGUAAGUUGAGAUGUCCCUUCAGUCCGAGGUGGGGCAGGAGCAC
ensembl:lncRNA